rnacentral:rRNA from 1 species
CCUACGGGAGGCAGCAGUGGGGAAUAUUGCACAAUGGGGGAAACCCUGAUGCAGCGACGCCGCGUGAGUGAAGAAGUAACUCGGUACGUAAAGCUCUAUCAGCAGGGACGAAAAUGACGGUACCUGACUAAGAAGCCCCGGCUAACUACGUGCCAGCAGCCGCGGUAAUACGUAGGGGGCAAGCGUUAUCCGGAUUUACUGGGUGUAAAGGGAGCGUAGACGGCAGUACAAGUCUGGAGUGAAAGCCCGGGGCUUAACCCCGGAAAUGCUUUGGAAACUGUGCGGCUGGAGUGCAGGAGGGGUAAGCGGAAUUCCUAGGGUAGCGGUGAAAUGCGUAGAUAUUAGGAGGAACACCGGUGGCGAAGGCGGCUUACUGGACUGUAACUGACGUUGAGGCUCGAAAGCGUGGGGAGCAAACAGGAUUAGAUACCCCGGUAGUC